AGGGGUGUAGCUCAAUGGUAGAGCACUUGCCUAGCAUGCACAAGAGCCUGAGUUCUAAACCCAGCACUGCAA
rnacentral:tRNA from 1 species